rnacentral:rRNA from 1 species
GACGAACGCUGGCGGCGUGCUUAACACAUGCAAGUCGAACGGUAAGGCCUUCGGGUACACGAGUGGCGAACGGGUGAGUAACACGUGGGUGAUCUGCCCCCUACUCUGGGAUAAGCCUGGGAAACUGGGUCUAAUAUCGGAUAUGACCUCCUUCUGCAUGGUUGGUGGUGGAAAGGUUUUUCGGUAGGGGAUGAGCCCGCGGCCUAUCAGCUUGUUGGUGGGGUAAUGGCCUACCAAGGCGACGACGGGUAGCCGGCCUGAGAGGGCGACCGGCCACACUGGGACUGAGACACGGCCCAGACUCCUACGGGAGGCAGCAGUGGGGAAUAUUGCACAAUGGGCGAAAGCCUGAUGCAGCGACGCCGCGUGGGGGAUGACGGCCUUCGGGUUGUAAACCCCUUUCAGUCGGGACGAAGCGAGAGUGACGGUACCGAUAGAAGAAGCACCGGCCAACUACGUGCCAGCCGCCGCAGUAAGAC